GUCCUGGCAGUAAACGGUGCGCGUUUGGUGUGGGAGGAUUCGACCCCUUCUGUGCCGGAGCUAACGCGUUAAACGCGCCGCCUGGGGAGUACGGUCGCAAGAUUAAAACUCAAAGAAAUUGACGGGGGCCCGCACAAGCGGUGGAGUAUGUGGCUUAAUUCGAUGCAACGCGAAGAACCUUACCUAGCCUUGACAUGCAUCUCUAAGUCGGUGAAAGCCGGCGAGUGUAGCAAUACACAAUUUGCACAGGUGCUGCAUGGCUGUCGU
rnacentral:rRNA from 1 species